rnacentral:rRNA from 1 species
GAUGAACGCUGGCGGCGUGCUUAACACAUGCAAGUCGAGCGAAGCACUUAAGUUUGAUUCUUCGGAUGAAGACUUUGUGACUGAGCGGCGGACGGGUGAGUAACGCGUGGGUAACCUGCCUCAUACAGGGGGAUAACAGUUAGAAAUGGCUGCUAAUACCGCAUAAGACCACAGUACUGCAUGGUACAGUGGUAAAAACUCCGGUGGUAUGAGAUGGACCCGCGUCUGAUUAGGUAGUUGGUGGGGUAACGGCCUACCAAGCCGACGAUCAGUAGCCGACCUGAGAGGGUGACCGGCCACAUUGGGACUGAGACACGGCCCAA